UUUGAGAUAUAAAACGUGUUUUUAUUUACACAGCGUUCAAGUUUACAGGUUUAUAUCACGUUCAUAUACCGAGGUAUAUGUGCAUGUAAACAAAACAGAAAAAUAAAUAUAUCAUUAACACUGAUAGAAGUUUUUUGUUGCUUUUUUUUUUGCAUACACAUUACAAUUUUCUUUGAAAAAUGCAAACAAAGUCACUUUCACUGACAAUAUAAUCACUGUGAUAUGUUUUACUGUUUUGAAACAUUAAUAUUGGUGUUCAGUGAAGUCUCCUGAGUAAAGCAGUACCCCCCAUGUACAGGUUUUAGGAUGUCAUAAAAAGUUUCAGGGUUAAAUACAGUGCUAGCAAAUUAAAUUCUCUGGACUUUCGGCCUGGGUUGUCAGGCAGGUCCCUCAAAUGGCAAUCAAUAAAAUUACUUGAUAAUGUAAAAAUAUGACAUAGAUUUGCACGUAGAAUUUAAAUAUAUAUGCAUAUUUAUAUAUUUGAAGUCUACGUGUAUAUUUAUAAAAUUAUUUAUGUAAUU